AUUGAACGCUGGCGGCAGGCCUAACACAUGCAAGUCGAGCGGAUGAAAGGGGCUUGCUCCUGGAUUCAGCGGCGGACGGGUGAGUAAUACGCAGGAAUCUACCUAGUAGUGGGGGAUAACGUUUCGAAAGGGGCGCUAAUACCGCAUACGUUCUGAGGAAGAAAGCAGGGGAUCGCAAGACCUUGCGCUAUUAGAUGAGCUUGCGUCCGAUUAGCUAGUUGGUGGGGUAAAGGCCUACCAAGGCGACGAUCGGUAACUGGUCUGAGAGGAUGAUCAGUCACACUGGAACUGAGACACGGUCCAGACUCCUACGGGAGGCAGCAGUGGGGAAUAUUGGACAAUGGGCGCAAGCCUGAUCCAGCCAUGCCGCGUGAGUGAAGAAGGCCUCGGUUG
rnacentral:rRNA from 1 species